rnacentral:misc_RNA from 1 species
GAUGAAGAACGCAGCGAAAUGCGAUACGUAAUGUGAAUUGCAGAAUUCAGUGAAUCAUCGAAUCUUUGAACGCAAAUUGCGCUCCCUGGUAUUCCGGAGAGCAUGCUUGUUUGAGUAUCAGUAAACACCUCAACUUCCAUAUCUUUUUUGAAAUGGGAGUUGGACUUGAGUGAUCCCAACGCUUUUCCUCACCGAAAAGUGGCGGGUUACUUGAAAUGCAGGUGCAGCUGGACUUUUCUCUGAGCUAUAAGCAUAUCUAUUUAGUCUGCCUAAAAACAGAUUAUUACCUUUGCUGCAGCUAACAUAAAGGAGAUUAGUUCUUGUGCUGACUGAUGCAGGAUUCACAAAGACAGGCUUCGGCCGACUUUGUAAACUCGAUCUCAAAUCAAGUAAGACUACCCGCUGAACUUAAGCAUAUCAAUAAGCGGAGGA